CCAAAAUCGAACCAACGCCCAGCCAAUCACGUGGCGCUCCUCCGGUCAUGUGACGCAGACGGUUCACCUCACAAGACCGGGGUCAACCACGGCUAUCAGCAUGAACGACGGCGCUUCAGACCCACGCAGCGAGGACCCGAUGCCAGGUCCAGUGGACAGACUUCAGACGUCUCUGUGUGUUCGGUCCUGUCCGGUCCUGUCUCUGGUUGCCUGGUUACAGACGCUGCUGCACCCGCACGUUUAAAAAUGUCUACACCUGAAACUCCACCACGUCUAAAGAAGCAAAAACGUUUGCAAAUGUACAGACUGGAGUGGGAAGAGUGGAACCCCUGGCAAUGGAUACAAGGCAAACUGUGUUUUCUGUUGCUCAUGGACUGGCUGAAGUAAGGCAGCAUCAGGAGACAAACCUGGAGGAAAUAUAAGAACAGAGAGAACCCAACCAGCAGGUCACAGUUUAUCAUCAUCUAAUCAUCUCCUGAAGUCCAUAUGGUCCCUCUCUAUCUCCCCACACAUCCACCAACCACUGGAACACAUCUCCAAAGUUCUGCUGGACCAGCUCAGCUUCCCCUCAGAAGAAGUGCUGCCACCUGCCAGAUGAAGGAGCCUUUUGAGAGGCAGCUGGCAUCGUGAUUGGACUGUACUGUGGUCUGUUCCAAUCCAGCUUCAGCUCCAGAGACGGCAGGUGGGACGAGUCAACGGAGGCCGGGUGGACGAAGACAUGCAGCUGAGUACAAUCCAGAAAACAACAGAGGAGGAGUGCAGCAGCCCAGAGCCAGAACAACCAGAGUAGCAUCAUAUGUCUCUUAGAAAACAUCAUAGUAUAGCCUUUGAACAAAGAACUGCAGACUCUUCACAACCUGCUCAAACUCUUGGUACAGGACCUCACCACACGGGUCAAGAAGGUUUCCAUCUCAUUUCUACUCUGAAGCUCACCUUCUCCUGCUCAAACUGCUGACAAAUGUUUCUGCUGCUCUAAAGUCUGGUCUCCAGAACUUCCUAAAAACUCUCAAAGUCUCUUCUGCUGCAGGUUGCUUUGUAGAACUGUUCCAGAAAACCUCACUAAACCACAUGGAGGGGCCUCAAGUUAGUCAUCCAAAUGAAACUGUACAAAAACCAAACUAGCACAACCCAAAUGCUAAAGUCUCCUGCAGCCUACCAGAGAACCUCUGAGAACAGAGAAUCAGGACAGGAACUCUUACCUUCUGGACAACCAACGUUGGUUCACAAACAAGAAUACAGAAUGUGUCUGACCAGAAACCUCUGAAGACUCACUACAGCCAAGAUAAAGACACAACUCAGCUGGAGCAAAUCCACUAAUCACUGCACACAUUAGCACCAUGUGCCAACUGUGGCUAAAGAACCACAUUUACCAAGACAACUAUCCAGUACAAAGCCCUAAAACACACCAAGAAACACAUUAAAGACGAUUUUACUGCUGGAAGCUGCAAGUCAACGCCGAAAAAACAAAAGCAACGGAACCAAACCCAGUUCACUGGUGAAGAGAAGCAGAGGAAAUGUUUGUCUGCAGCUAAAUAAAGCAGGAAGACACUGAGCUGCUCAGGUGUUCCUGAUAACACCAAGCUGCUCAGGUGUUCCUGAUAACACCAAGCUGCUCAGGUGUUCCUGAUAACACCAAGCAGCCACCUGGACAGCCAAUAGGAACACAGCUUACUGGAAGUCCAGAGGGCUGGCUUAGUGAAGGAAAUUUAGUUUAAAGUUGAGGCAGAAAGUUAACAAAGAAAGUUGAAAACCA